GCCAGGCAUGGUGGCGCGUGCCUGUAAUCCCAGCUACUCGGGAGGCUGAGGCAGGAGAAUCGCUUGAACCCAGGAGGCAGAGGUUGCAGUGAGCCGAGAUCACGCCAUUGCAUUCCAGCCUGGGUGACAGAGCGAGACUCCAUCUCAA
ensembl:misc_RNA Metazoa_SRP Metazoan signal recognition particle RNA